rnacentral:rRNA from 1 species
UAAGGAAUAUCGGACAAUGGGCGGAAGCCUGAUCCAGCCAUGCCGCGUGAAGGAUGAAGGCGCUCAGCGUUGUAAACUUCUUUUGGACGGGGACAAACCGCUUCAUUUAUGGGGCGCUGAGGGUACCGUCAGAAUAAGCACCGGCUAACUCCGUGCCAGCAGCCGCGGUAAUACGGAGGGUGCAAGCGUUAUCCGGAAUCACUGGGUUUAAAGGGUGUGUAGGCGGUCUGAUAAGUCAGUUGUGAAAUUCCCCGGCUUAACCGGGUGGACUGCGAUUGAUACUGUUGGACUUGAAUCAGGUUGAGGUAGGCGGAAUGUGACAUGUAGCGGUGAAAUGCUUAGAUAUGUCAUAGAACACCGAUUGCGAAGGCAGCUUGCUGGGCUUCGAUUGACGCUGAGGCACGAAAGCGUGGGGAGCAAACAG